rnacentral:rRNA from 1 species
UGGGGAAUAUUGGACAAUGGGCGCAAGCCUGAUCCAGCCAUGCCGCGUGAGUGAAGAAGGCCCUAGGGUUGUAAAGCUCUUUCACCGGGGAAGAUAAUGACGGUAACCGGAGAAGAAGCCCCGGCUAACUUCGUGCCAGCAGCCGCGGUAAUACGAAGGGGGCUAGCGUUGUUCGGAUUGACUGGGCGUAAAGCGCACGUAGGCGGACUUUUAAGUCAGGGGUGAAAUCCCGGGGCUCCACCACGGAACUGCCUUUGAUACUGGAAGUCUGGAGUAUUGUAGAGGUGGAUGGAAUUCCGAGUGUAGAGGUGAAAUUCGUAGAUAUUCGGAGGAACACCAGUGGCGAAGGCGGCUCACUGGACGAUUACUGCCGCUGAGGUGCGAAAGCGUGGGGAGCAAACAGG